GGUCUUGACAUCCACAGAACUUUCCAGAGAUGGAUUGGUGCCUUCGGGAACUGUGAGACAGGUGCUGCAUGGCUGUCGUCAGCUCGUGUUGUGAAAUGUUGGGUUAAGUCCCGCAACGAGCGCAACCCUUAUCCUUUGUUGCCAGCGGUCCGGCCGGGAACUCAAAGGAGACUGCCAGUGAUAAACUGGAGGAAGGUGGGGAUGACGUCAAGUCAUCAUGGCCCUUACGACCAGGGCUACACACGUGCUACAAUGGCGCAUACAAAGAGAAGCGACCUCGCGAGAGCAAGCGGACCUCAUAAAGUGCGUCGUAGUCCGGAUUGGAGUCUGCAACUCGACUCCAUGAAGUCGGAAUCGCUAGUAAUCGUGGAUCAGCCUGCCAAACCGCAUCAG
rnacentral:rRNA from 1 species